CAAUAGCGUAUAUUAAAGUUGUUGCAGUUAAAAAGCUCGUAGUCGGAUGUCGGGCUCGGGCAGGCUGUCGGCUUCGGUCGGACGGCAGGCUCGGGUCUUUCUGCCUGAGGAUCCCGUUGCACUUAAUUGUGGGGCGUGGGGACAGCUAGCUUUAAACUUAAAUGAGUGUUCAAAGCAGGCCUACGCUUGAAUACAUUAGCAUGGAAUAAUGGAAUAGGACUUUGGUGCUAUUUUGUUGGUUUAUGGGACCGAAGUAAUGAUUAACAGGGACAGUUGGGCCGUUUAUAUUUCGUUGUCAGAGGUGAAAUUCUUGGAUUUACGAAAGAUAAACUUCUGCGAAAGCAUUCGGCAAGGAUGUUUUCAUUGAUCAAGAACGAAAGUUAGGGGAUCAAAGACGAUCAGAUACCG
rnacentral:rRNA from 1 species